UGUCCUGAUGUCCACACACACAUAAAAAGGGAAAGCGGUGGUUAAGCAGGACACAGGAGUAACUGGACGACAUGAGGUGCAUCUGGGAUGUAUGUUUAGUCCUCUUGGCCUUUACGUUUACCUCCAGAGCCGACAUAUACAAGGACCGAGCGCUGAGGCUGAUGUCUGAGACACCACUAAUCGAUGGACACAAUGAUUUGCCAUGGCAACUGAGGAUGCAGUUUAACAAUCAGAUAAACGCAGUGGACCUGCACACACUCAAUUCAACGCACACCAACAUCGAUAAAAUCAAACGGGGGUACUUAGCAGCACAGUUCUGGGCUGCAUACGUCCCAUGUGACACUCAGUAUAAAGAUGCCGUUAGACACACCUUGGAGCAAAUCGAUAUUAUACACAGAAUGUCUAACAAAUAUCCUGAGGACUUUGUGUUUGCUUCCAGCAGUCAAGACAUAUUGGAUGCCUUUGUCAACAAUAAGACAGCGAGCUUGAUCGGGGUGGAAGGAGGUCACUCAGUAGAUAGCAGUAUGGGAACGUUACGCACCAUGUAUCAACUGGGAGUCCGUUAUCUGACUCUCACACACAGCUGCAACACACCUUGGGUGGAUAACUGGAAGGUGGAUACAGGCUCAGAUCCUGUGGAGCACAAUGGCCUGAGUGACUUUGGAAAGCGUCUGAUUGGUGAAAUGAACCGCAUGGGCAUGCUGGUGGACCUGGCUCACGUCUCAGAACAGGUGAUGAGCCAAGUCCUGGAGAUCUCCCAGGCCCCUGUUAUCUUCAGCCACUCUUCUGCAUACAGCAUUUGUCCUCACAAGAGGAAUGUCCCAGAUUACAUCCUGGAGAAAGUGAAAGCUAAAAACGGGAUUGUAAUGGUGAAUUUCUAUAAUGACUAUGUCACCUGUAGCCCAAAGGCCAGCCUCUCACAUGUGGCAGAUCACUUUGACCACAUCAAGAAAGUAGCUGGUUCCAGCAGUGUGGGUUUUGGUGGUGAUUAUGAUGGUGUGAGUAGGGUACCAACUGGUCUGGAGGAUGUUUCCAAGUAUCCUGAUCUGGUAGCAGAACUGCUAAGACGUGGCUGGACAGACGACGAGGUCAAAGACGCUCUUGGAAGAAACCUGAUUCGAGUGUUCAAAGCUGUGGAAACAGAAGUUCAAUUUAACUAACAACGACUCGUCCAAGAUCCAAUAAAAGAACCUAGAAGAACAUCUAAAGCCUGAUGAUCCAACGAAAGGAAAAUUAAAUCCAUGGGAGAGUUCCAAGGUGAAAGCCACUGCUGACCGAAAAUAACACAAAGGCCCGUCUCACAUUUGCCAAAAAACAUCUGACCGAUGAGAAUAAAGGUGAACUGAAGUUGAGCAAAGAAUUCACCAGGCUUGUGUCAAAAGACCUGAGCAAGUCCUUUUUUGAAGGCCUAGAUCGUCAUCUCUCAAAGCUUAUACAGUUAUUCAGGUCAUAGUGUUAUGAGGACAGUCCAGAAAUGAUGUCAAUACUGCAGAGCCUUCAUAAGGAUGUAAGUCUAUUUCAAAGUAGUCUUUCUCUCCCCAAAAUGACAAUUCUGUGAUCAUUUACUCACUUUCAUGUUUGUCCAAACCUCUGUGACCUUUUUUCUUCUAUGAAUCAUAAAAGUAGUGAGUGACAUCUUUUCAUACAAUGACUAAGUGUCUAAAAAGUAACCUACACGAUUUGUGUGUCAUAUUCCAAGUCUUCUGAAAACAUACAUUCUCUUUGUAUGAUGAAAACAUAAAAAUUUCAGUCUUUGUUUAGAGUAAAGUUUGUAUUAGCUACUAGAUUAAUAUCAAACCUCAUUGGUUCUUUUGAUCAAAUGUUGUGACACAAGAUGUGACACAAGGUGGCUUAGUGGUUAGCAUGUUCGCCUCACACCUCCAGAGUUGGGGGUUUGAUUCCCGCCUCUGCCUUGUGUGUGUGGAGUUUGCAUGUUCUCCCCGUGCCUCGGGGGUUUCCUCCAGGUACUCUGGUUUCCUCCCCCGGUCCAAAGACAUGCAUGGUAGGUUGAUUGGCAUCUCUGGAAAAUUGUCCGUAGUGUGUGAUUGCGUGAGUGAAUGAGAGUGUGUGUGUGUGCCCUGUGAUGGGUUGGCACUCCGUCCAGGGUGUAUCCUGCCUUGAUGCCCGAUGACGCCUGAGAUAGGCACAGGCUCCCCGUGACCCGAGGUAGUUCGGAUAAGCGGUAGAAAAUGAGUGAGUGAGUGAGUGAGUGUUUGGAGUGGCAUGUUGGUGAGUAAAUGACAAUUAUCUUUGGUAACCUAUCCUUUAAAAAUUUUUUUUAUUUUGCUAUAAUAAAUAAUCUGACAUUUACUAUUUAAUCAUUUCAUUAAUAAAGCAGCCUUUGUGAAACCUAA